rnacentral:tRNA from 1 species
ACUUAAAUAAUAUAAUAUAUUAUAUUUAAUUUCCAAUUAAAAAAUCUAAAAUUUAGUUUAAGUA